CCAACUGUCAGGUGCUGGGACAGGGAAAGAGAUUGAAGAGCUCCAGAGAGGAUUUCCCUGUAUAUGACCUACUUGCAUUUUCCAUGAACAACUGUGAAGUGGCGUGAUCCACAGGUGCCUUCUGGGAGAAGUGGUUGAGGUCAGAAGCCCGGUUCUGUUGUGGUGGCAGAGGCUGUGUCCACCACCUGGGCAGAAGAAUGAAAGAUGCACAUGUGAUUCAAUUCGUUUCUUUCCAGAAUGGGGGAUAGUAGAGUUUUUGUGGACUCUCCUUUACGGUUUCAAGAGGCCCUUGAUCUGAGGAUGGGAGCUCCAAAGACGCAAAGGAGCUCCACUUCCCUGACUGCCUCCACUGGGGCAAAAGUGACAUUCAUCAGCUCCACGUGGAACUUUCCCAUGAAGCAAAUGAAUGGAGCAUGCCUUGGUCUCACCUCCAGACCAAGAAGAUUUAUAUUUGAACUUGCUACCCAGAUUUUGAAAUGAAUACUGGAGCCAGGAGGGUAUCAUGUUAAAUUCAUUGGCAGAACCAUGAGAAACUAUCACACACUUUUGCCCAUUUACAUUAAGUCCAAAUCAUCCAUCCCCAUACAAUUUUUCUCUGCUGUCCCUAUAGGAUUAAUAUAAAUCAUGGGAGAUAAUUUGCAGAGAAAGCUAUUUAAAAUUGCGGCAGAGCAGUUCAUUUGUUGCGAUAAUUCACUUUGGUGUAAAAUUCAAUUAUUACUGACAAAUAAAGGUUAGCAACUUAAUCAUUAUAAAGAACAGACGUCUGGGUGAAGAACAAGCAAAUUAAGGGAUUCCCAAGUCUUUUAAUCUCCACCCCCCAGUGAUUCUAGAGGAUUUGCAAACCUUGUAAGAACUUAAAAAAAAAUUCUCAUUCUUCCUAUCCUUGGAUAGAAUUCCUCCCAUCAGUUUAUUUUCAAAGUAAUAAAUGUGUAAAUAGAUGCCAUAAGUUUAUAUAUUUGCACAACUCUGUAGCAUUUUUUAAUCCAGCCUAACUAUUCAGAAAAUUUGGUCUCGAUUUCUCCUCUUCUGGCACAGACCAAAGGGAGAACCACAGCCCAUUUGUUGGAGACCCCGACAUCUGCUGAUUUGUCAGUUUUGUUUAGUUAAAAUGGAUUCACAUUUGUGAGAAACAGAGCCUUUUAGAGGAGCCAGCCCUGGAGAAAAUUAGUUCUACUUUUACCAACAUUAACUCCCC
rnacentral:lncRNA from 1 species